AGUGCGCUUCCCGAACUACACCGCGGAGUGUAUGUGCAAAGUUGAACACACGUUCAUCUCGACGACUACCUAUACUGGACAAACUUGCUCAGAACCCAACCAAACCCUGACCCAAACUGGUAUCAUCAUAAUCACCACCACCGUUGGGGGAGGACUGCUCCUGACAGUUUUAGUACUGGUUGCGGUAGUGGUGCUACUCAGGCGAAGUUACAUUGCUACGAAAAACAAAUAUGGGCAGAUUGAAAGUCAAGAAAAGCAGUCAGAUUUGGAUAAUCAGUCAAGCUCUUC